rnacentral:rRNA from 38 species
CUUCCGUAGGGUGAACCUGCGGAAGGAUCAUUA